UACAUAAGUAACCUGCCCUAGACAGGGGGAUAACUGCUGGAAACGGCAGCUAAGACCGCAUAGGUAUGGACACUGCAUGGUAACCAUAUUAAAAGUGCCAAGGCACUGGUAGAGGAUGGACUUAUGGCGCAUUAGCUGGUUGGUGAGGUAACGGCUCACCAAGGCGACGAUGCGUAGCCGACCUGAGAGGGUGACCGGCCACACUGGGACUGAGACACGGCCCAA
rnacentral:rRNA from 1 species